CAAGUCGAACGCACUCUCGUUUAGAUUGAAGGAGCUUGCUCCUGAUUGAUAAACAUUUGAGUGAGUGGCGGACGGGUGAGUAACACGUGGGUAACCUGCCCUAAAGUGGGGGAUAACAUUUGGAAACAGAUGCUAAUACCGCAUAAAACCUAACACCGCAUGGUGUAGGGUUGAAAGAUGGUUUCGGCUAUCACUUUAGGAUGGACCCGCGGUGCAUUAGUUAGUUGGUGAGGUAAAGGCUCACCAAGACCGUGAUGCAUAGCCGACCUGAGAGGGUAAUCGGCCACACUGGGACUGAGACACGGCCCAGACUCCUACGGGAGGCAGCAGUAGGGAAUCUUCCACAAUGGACGAAAGUCUGAUGGAGCAACGCCGCGUGAGUGAAGAAGGUUUUCGGAUCGUAAAACUCUGUUGUUGGAGAAGAAUGUAUCUGAUAGUAACUGAUCAGGUAGUGACGGUAUCCAACCAGAAAGCCACGGCUAACUACGUGCCAGCAGCCGCGGUAAUACGUAGGUGGCAAGCGUUGUCCGGAUUUAUUGGGCGUAAAGCGAGCGCAGGCGGUUUCUUAAGUCUGAUGUGAAAGCCUUCGGCUCAACCGAAGAAGUGCAUCGGAAACUGGGAAACUUGAGUGCAG
rnacentral:rRNA from 1 species